rnacentral:rRNA from 1 species
CACGUAGGAGGCAAACGUUAUCCGGAUUUACUGGGCGUAAAGCGCGUGUAGGUGGUUCUGUAAGUAGGGCGUGAAAGCUCCCGGCUCAACUGGGAGAGGCCGUUCUAAACUGCAGAGCUAGAGGAUGGUAGAGGGAGGUGGAAUUCCAGGUGUAGCGGUGGAAUGCGCAGAUAUCUGGAGGAACACCAGUGGCGAAGGCGGCCUCCUGGACCAUUCCUGACACUCAGACGCGAAAGCUAGGGUAGCAAACGGGAUUAGAUACCCGCGUAGU